GCCUUAGUACGGCGAGUGAAGCGGCAAUAGCUCAAAUUUGAAAGCUGGCCCUUUUAGGGUCCGCGUUGUAAUUUGUAGAGGAUGAUUCGGCGAGGGCUCCCGUCUAAGUCCCCUGGAACGGGGCGUCAUAGAGGGUGAGAAUCCCGUAUGCGAUGGGUUGCCUUAGCCAUGUGAAUCUCCUUCGACGAGUCGAGUUGUUUGGGAAUGCAGCUCUAAAUGGGAGGUAAAUUUCUUCUAAAGCUAAAUACCGGCCAGAGACCGAUAGCGCACAAGUAGAGUGAUCGAAAGAUGAAAAGCACUUUGGAAAGAGAGUUAAAAAGUACGUGAAAUUGUUGAAAGGGAAGCGCUUGCAACCAGACUUGUCCGCAGUUGCUCAGCCGGUCUCCUGACCGGCGUACUCUUCUGCGGCCAGGCCAGCAUCAGUUCGGGCGGUCGGAUAAAGACCUCGGGAAUGUAGCUCCUCUCGGGGAGUGUUAUAGCCCGGGGUGGAAUGCGGCCAGCCUGGACUGAGGAUCUCGCUUCGGCAAGGAUGCUGGCGUAAUGGUUGUAAGCGGCCCGUCUUU
rnacentral:rRNA from 1 species